GUGGUCACUGUCCCAAGGGUCACCAACACAGCUAGUCCUGCUUGCAGAGGUCUGCGACUUUGAGGAACCUUCUUACGACCACAGCCAGGCAGAUUGUCAGGAGCAGCAUAUACCCCACAGUGCCCAGGUAUCUAGCUUUGGCUUGUCCUGGAUAUUCACGCAUCACCCAGGUGUCCCUGCCUGGCCAGAAAGUGCCAGGGAGAUCUCAGAGCAUCUAAAGAUCAUGGUUCGCAUCAUUGCCAAGUGACAGCAAUGUAGCUUUAGCAGCCACAUUAAUGAAACUCAUUACUAAGGUAAUGAGUUGGUUCUUUUGCUUUUUUCCAAGACUGCCUCCUCAGAGGGGAGAAUGCUGUCUGCGGACAGAUUGGGCUUUUAUAAAGAUAACUGCAUACAGCUUA